rnacentral:lncRNA from 1 species
AUUUAUUACAUGUUUGCCACUAUAGAUCCUACGUAAUCCUUUAUAUAAAAAGAAAUAUCGACCGUUCGCUCGUUCAGGAAUGUAAUCAAAUUUCGAAACUGUUAAACACGUGGCAUUAUGUACGGUUAAGUUUUAGUUUUACUGAUACCAUGUUAUGUUAGUCAACAAAAUUCAACUAAAUAGGUCGGUUGAAUUUAACCCAACUAUAAACAUGCAAUUAAUCUCCACAUUAAUUAUACUCCUCUAUUCUGAUACCACGUUGGAUUAUUAGUCAAUAAAUUAUAAUCAAGUAAUCACAUGAAAGUUCAUUGAACCUAGUCCAAUAAUUCAUUCAAACCAACUCAUACCCACACCAAUGUAAAGUUUCAAAUACAUUUUGAUACCACGCGCAUCAGACAAAAUCUUAUUAUCUUUU